GACCACGGCACUUCUGACACCAUAACCACUACCGUGUUCUGUAGUGGUUAUGGUGCUUGAAGUUUUUCUUUA